rnacentral:tRNA from 1 species
AAAGCCUUAAGUUAAAAAAACUUCUAACCUUCAAAGUUAAGAUUAUAAUACUUUUAUAGGCUUUA